CCUACGGGCGACAGCAGUGAGGAAUAUUGGUCAAUGGACGAGAGUCUGAACCAGCCAAGCCGCGUGAAGGAUGACUGCCCUAUGGGUUGUAAACUUCUUUUAUAUGGGAAUAAAAUGUUCCCCGUGUGGGAUGCUGUAUGUACCAUAUGAAUAAGGAUCGGCUAACUACGUGCCAGCAGCCGCGGUAAUACGGAGGAUCCGAGCGUUAUCCGGAUUUAUUGGGUUUAAAGGGAGCGUAGGAGGAUUGUUAAGUCAGUUGUGAAAGUUCGGGGCUCAACCGUCGAAUUGCAGUUGAAACUGGCAGUCUGGAGUACAGGAGAGGUGAGCGGAAUUCGUGGUGUAGCGGUGAAAUGCUUAGAUAUCACGAAGAACUCCGAUUGCGAAGGCAGUUCACUGGACUGCAACUGACGCUGAGGCUCGAAAGUGUGGGUAUCAAACAGGAUUAGAUACCCGUGUAGUC
rnacentral:rRNA from 1 species